UGUUGUUGCACAGGAUGAAGAUUCCCUCAAAAAGUAGCAAGAAAUUUCUGUAUACCUGUGUGUUAAGAAGAUCUUUCAUCAUGACAGGUCCGAUAUACAGUAAAAACUGCCUAAACUCUGUUGUCUUCCACCUAUCAAUUUCUCUCAGUGCCCUUGGUUUCAUUGCAAACUCCAUGGGCACAUUUCUCCGAGCAUUUAACAGUCUUUCUGACAAUGUGUUUAUUUGAAAUCCUGACAGCCUACAAGUCAGAGGACCCAUCUUCAGCCACAAGAGAAGAAGCCGUCUCACGAUGGUGCAUGUAGUCGAGGGGGAAACCAGAGACCAUGUUUAGGGAUGUUUCUUCAAGAGUGUCUCUAGGAUGGGCCAGAACUGUGAUGCUGAGCUCUUAUAAAGUGGCAAACCAUCAAUGCUGACCUGAAGCUCCAGCGUGUGAAUGUUGCGCAGAAUGUCAACAUUCUGAUGUAGCACCUCUGCAAUUGAAUUCAGCACUCCGAAAUGCAAGGCAUUCGAUUGGCUGGUAGGUGCUGAUGUCGCGCUGCAAGAACAACAUGGCACGGGUUCAAAGCCUUAUUCAACUGAGAAAAUUGAUCAGCGUCAUGGUACAAGCGAAGUCUGAAUGGUUUGUUUCCCUGUUUCUUCUGCCUUGGCUGCACCAGCUGUGGAAACCAGACCUGGUGAGGACCCUCUCCUCCAUCCUCAACUAUUGAACCUCUUAUAUCACUCGGAUGAGGUGUUCUGGAUCCAGACUGGAGCUUGUGUAAAUCCUAGUUACCACAGGAUGAAGAUCC